rnacentral:lncRNA from 1 species
AUGGGAGCGCCCAGCCGGCCACUGAAGACUGGUCUGCAGCCCCCACUGCUCAGGCCACUGAAAGGUGUUGGAAGACACAUAGAAAACGCUGCUGAAGCUGAAGACUUUGAGAAACAGAUCACUUGCUCUGGGGGAGCUGGCUGCCACGUCCUGAGGAAUCUUCAGAAUCUCUAUGGAGAAGUCUACAUGUUACCUGCAGUGAACUGUGGUCUAGAAGCAGAUGACUCUCCUACAUCUUGUCAGAAGGUCAGUAAUAGCCUAACGCUAAGUCACAAUGCCUAUGUCACUGACCUUACUUCUACUCAUCACGUAGGCAUUUUAUCUUCUCACAUCACAAGAAGAAGGGUAAGUAUAGUACAAUAA